AUUCUUGUAGGAUCAUCAAAAGUUUGGAGACAUUAUAGGUCAUUUGUGGACUUUGUGAAAUUUGACCUAUUUUCAAGUAACUUUUUCUUAACUUUCAAGGAUUACAACUUCUUCAUUUUUUAAAAUUUGAGGCUGAUUCCUUUUGAAUAAUAUCAUUUGUCAUGCACUCUACAAGUGUGAGUGUGUAUGUGGGUGUGUUUGUGUGAGAGA
rnacentral:lncRNA from 1 species